GAUGAACGCUGGCGGCGUGCCUAAUACAUGCAAGUCGAGCGAACGGACGAGAAGCUUGCUUCUCUGAUGUUAGCGGCUGACGGGUGAGUAACACGUGGAUAACCUACCUAUAAGACUGGGAUAACUUCGGGAAACCGUAGCUAAUACCGGAUAAUAUUUUGAACCGCAUGGUUCAAAAGUGAAAGACGGUCUUGCUGUCACUUAUAGAUGGAUCCGUGCUGCAUUAGCUAGUUGGUAAGGUAACGGCUUACCAAGGCAACGAUGCAUAGCCGACCUGAGAGGGUGAUCGGCCACACUGGAACUGAGACACGGUCCAGACUCCUACGGGAGGCAGCAGUAGGGAAUAUUCCGCAAUGGGCGAAAGCCUGACGGAGCAACGCCGCGUGAGUGAUGAAGGUCUUCGGAUCGUAAAACUCUGUUAUUAGGGAAGAACAUAUGUGUAAGUAACUGUGCACAUCUUGACGGUACCUAAUCAGAAAGCAACGGCUAACUACGUG
rnacentral:rRNA from 1 species